AUGCGCAAAGGAGAUCCUAAGAGGCCAUGGGGCAACAUGUCAUCAUAUGCAUUCUCUGUAUAGACUUGCUGGGAGGAAGCACAAGAAGCAGCAUCCAGCUCCUUCGGUCAGCUUCUCAGAGUUGUCUCAGGAGUGCUCAGGGAGGUGGAAGGCCAUUUCUGCUAAAGAGAAAGGAAAAUUUGAAGACAUGGCAAAGGCAGACAAAACCUGUUAUGAAAGACAAAUGAAAACCUAAUCCCUCCUAAAGGGGAAACAAAAGAGGAGUUUAAGGAAACCAGUGCACCCAAGAGGCCUCUUUUGGGCUUUUUCUUGUUCUGUUCUGAGUAUCACCAAGAUCAAAGGAGAAUAUCCUGGCCUACCCAUUGAUGACAUAGCAAAGAAACUGGGAGAGAUGUUAAUAACACUGCUGCAGAUGGCAAGCAGCCUUAUGAAAAGAAGGCUGCUAAGCUGAAGGAAAUAUGCGAAAAGGAUAUUGCUGCAUACCGAGCUAAAGAAAAGCCUGAUACAGCAAAAAAGCGAGCCAUGAAGGCUGAAAAAAAGCAAGACAAUGAAGGAAGAAUAGGAAGAUGAGGAAAAUGAAGAAAUGGUGAAGAAGAAGAAGAU
rnacentral:lncRNA from 10 species